rnacentral:misc_RNA from 1 species
AAGUCGUAACAAGGUUUCCGUAGGUGAACCUGCGGAAGGAUCAUUAUCGAGUUACGGGACCCCGGGUCCCAACUCCCACCCUUUGUUUACUAUAACCUGUUGCUUUGGCGGGCCGUGCCUUCGGGUAUCGCCGGCUCCUCGGAGCUGGAGAGCGUCCGCCAGAGAACCUAAAAUUCAAUUUGAACAGUGAUGUCUGAGUCUAAUUAUAAUGAAUCAAAACUUUCAACAACGGAUCUCUUGGUUCUG